GACGUAGGGGGCCAGCGUUGUUCGGAAUUACUGGGUGUAAAGGGUUCGUAGGCGGUGUAGCAAGUCGGGUGUGAAAUCUCUGGGCUUAACCCAGAGGCUGCUUCCGAAACUGCUGUGCUUGAGUGUGGGAGAGGCGCGUGGAAUUGCAGGUGUAGCGGUGAAAUGCAUAGAUAUCUGCAGGAACACCCGUGGCGAAAGCGGCGCGCUGGACCACUACUGACGCUGAGGAACGAAAGCUAGGGGAGCAAACAGG
rnacentral:rRNA from 1 species